rnacentral:miRNA from 14 species
UACAUACACCUAUUGAGCCACC